AGGUUUUGGAAGGAUCUCCGAGGAUAGUAGAGGAGGAUAGGUUAAGAGCAAAAACGAUCAUUCUUGGAGUAUAUCGUCACCCUUCCUUCGACAGUUCGACGUACCAUCGAGUAUUCAAGGUGGCGUCCUAACGACGCCUUGGCCUGGAUGGAUGGUCUCGACGGACUGGUUCUGGCUCUCCGAGUGAUCAUUCCUGUUGGCAUGUCCCUUUCUACUGUUUGAGGUUAUUUUGUAAGAGCUUAAAUUCCACAUCAUCGUCUUUGAUUCUCCGAACACUCUGUGGACGUUGAUCCUGACUCAUUGCUACGCAAAGAUCGCUGAAAAACAGUGGUCUGACUUAACAGGCGACCGAUCUGACAAGUGCGAUAUGGACUUACCAGGGUUAGGACAAACCCCAUCGGUCAAAUAUAGAAGUACUGCUGUCGAUGGUCCUUCGAUUGGUCUGGUGUUGCUGCGGGCACUGCUUGCCUCGACGGUGCCUGGGGAAAGGAAUCGGUAGCAAUGGUACCGAUGUUCAACAGGAUUGGACUUUGUAUUCGCAUAGCAGAUGACCCGACACUGUUCAUCGAUGUCUUCCUGAUACAGCAUUGAACCGAUCCCAAGGGUCUUUGUAUCCAUUUGAAGUACGAAUAGGAGCCAGGGAUUGGGACUUACCGGGGUUAGGACAAACCCCAUCGGUCAAAUAUAGAAGUACUGCUGUCGAUGGUCCUUCGAUCGGUCUGGUGUUGCUGCGAGCACUGCUUGCCUUGACGGUGCCUGGGGAAAGGAAUCGGUGGCAAUGUACCGUUGUUCAACAGGAUUGGACUUGGUAUUCG